rnacentral:rRNA from 1 species
GUGACCCCAGGUCAGGCAGU